rnacentral:rRNA from 1 species
UUCGCAAUGCCCGAAAGGGUGACGAAGCGACGCCGCGUGCGGGAGGAAGGCCUUCGGGUUGUAAACCGCUGUCGGGAGUUAAGAAAUGCAAGGAUGUUAAUAGCGUUCUUGCUUGACUAAGGCUCCGGAGGAAGCCACGGCUAACUCUGUGCCAGCAGCCGCGGUAAUACAGAGGCGGCAAGCGUUGUUCGGAAUUAUUGGGCGUAAAGAGCACGUAGGCGGCUGUGUAAGUCGGUUGUGAAAGCCUUCCGCUCAACGGAAGAACAGCAUCCGAUACUGCAUGGCUUGAGUGUGGGAGGGGAGAGUGGAACUUCUGGUGGAGCGGUGAAAUGCGUAGAUAUCAGAAGGAACACCGGCGGCGAAGGCGACUCUCUGGUCCAUAACUGACGCUGAGUGUGCGAAAGCUAGGGGAGCAAACGGGAUUAGAUACCCCGGUUGUCCUAGCCGUAAACGAUGGGCACUAAGUAGAGGGGUUUUA